UAGGGAAUAUUGCGCAAUGGCCUAACGGCUGACGCAGCAACGCCGCGUGGAUGAUGAAGCUUUUCGGAGUGUAAAAUCCUUUCAGCAGGGAAGAAUAUCUUGACGGUACCUGCAGAAGAAGUCCCGGCCAACUCCGUGCCAGCAGCCGCGGUAACACGGGGGGGACAAGCGUUGUUCGGAUUCACUGGGCGUAAAGCGCUCGUAGGUGGGCUGGAUAGUCGGAUGUGAAAACCUGAGGCUUAACUUCAGGCCUGCAUCCGAAACUGCCAGUCUUGAGUACUGGAGAGGGUGGCGGAAUUCCUGGUGUAGCGGUGAAAUGCGUAGAUAUCAGGAGGAACACCGAUGGCGAAGGCAGCCACCUGGACAGAUACUGACACUGAGGGGCGAAGGCUAGGGUAGCAAACA
rnacentral:rRNA from 1 species